UUUUUUUCUUUGGUUUUGUAUAAAUUGUUCUCUGAAUCUGAUUGCCUUUUUUUCGGACACGUAAUAAUCGCGUUAUCAUGUUAUUAAAAUAUCAGAAAGAGUAUCUAUCGAAUGGCAGCGUUGUGAUUUUUUGAGAACUUUAAAAUAAAAUGAAAAAUUGCACUUACGGUACUGGAUACCGGCAUUCGAAAAUGAUCGUGUCGACUUUGAUCCGGUUAGAAACACGAUACGAAUAAAAAUUGAUGUUGAUUUCACGCGAUCCGCGCGAUGAUCGCGCGUGUAUUUUUAUUAAGAUAUGUAUGCCCAUUUUGGAAUCGACCAUAUCAUGAACAGAUUGCAUCGUGAAUACAGUAGCGAUCUCAGAAUCUUUGAAAUUGCGACGAGACAUGAAAUAUGACAUUUAUAUUAUCAUGUCGCGAACUGUAUCACACGCAGAGAAGAACCUAUUACAAUAUUUCCUUUAGUUCUGCACGUCUUUAUUUAUAAUAUAAUAUAAAGCGCUCUAUAGAGAACACUAGCUUUAAAAAUAUAUUACUGAACUUAUCUUUUACACAAAUCACAUAUGUCGAAGUUUUAAAUGUAAUUUGUGAUGUAUUAUCGUAUUUUCUAGACACUGUUGAGUAGCAAAUUAACGCUAUGAUAUAAUUUAAAUCAUUUUCUUCUUAUCUUCUUUUUAAAGAAUAAUUGCAAUAGAACUUGUAAAAAUACUAAGAGAUAUUUUAAAACUGCGAUGGAACUCACCUGUAACUUGAAAUGGAUGUCCGUCAAAGUAUUUGCAAUAUAAAAAAAGAUUAUCAAAAUAGAUAAAUUUUCACGCGGAAACGCUAGAUUAACAUCAAAUUUUAUUCGUAUUAUAUUUCUAACUGGAUCAAAGCGACAUGGUCGUUUUUGUAUAACGGUAUUCGAUAUCAUAAGUGCAAUCACGACACAUCAACGAUUUAUCUGUUUAUUUCUACACGAUUAUCGUUAUACCUGAGCCCUAUAUUUAAGUAUCGAAUUAUCAAGCUAACAGAUUUGUUUUUUAUGAUAUAAUAGAUGUAAUAUACGUUCUCACACUCUGCGCUCACUAUUUCCAGUUAUGUAUCCGCUUGUCUUGGCAAAUUGUAUUAAUUUUCUUUCCUUCUACUUAUAUUUUUUCUCUUUCUCUUUCCUCUCUCUUCUAAAAUCUCUCGCUCUAGUUCAUACACGGAAGUAACAAUCACGAGUUUAUUUAAUUUCGCGCGAGAUUAAGAUAUAAAAGUGGAUCAAACGGAUGCAAACAAACCGAUAUCGCGAUAUUUACCUUCGACAAGAAAGAUAAAGCUUUUUUGAGCUUCGAGAUCAAUUACGUCAUAAUAACAUCCUACAUGACUCUGCUUCUUUCAAAUAUAGCUUAUACUUAUCUAUUAGAGAUUAUAAAAUAUAUAUUGUAGAUACAAAAUAUCUCUAUCAUAUUUUAAGUAUAAUCUUGACGGUAAAUUAAGUAUAUUUAUAUAUUUUUUUAUGUAUCCCAAUAAUAUAUCAAGAAAAAAAAUUAGUUAAUAUAUAUGUAUAAACGAAACUUGUUUUCUGAGGGAGAAAAACUUCGCGCAAAAUUAACAAAAUUAGUCAGUGUGGUCCAGCUUAUAUCUCUCUCCGUUUAUUCCGGGUAGAAUUCUAGACACGAAAAGGAUCGACGAUUGUCGUCGGGCAUUCCGCGGCACGCAAUUUUCAUCGUCUUGUAACUAUCUACCUCUAGCUUCUCACACGCUACGUCGCGUGAGACAAACACGCAACUGUUUAUAACAGUGUGCAGAAGCUGCAAAUACCGCUCGCGUCAGAGAAUCACAAAUAAGAGAUGCUGAAGGAGAAGCGGAUACGAGAAUACAGUCGACUGAGUAAGUCACCAUCGUCCGUCUAAUUCCGUCUGUGACCGCGUCUGCGUUUGUUGCCAGAUAAACUAAGAAAGCGAAGACACGCGGAUCGCGAAUGAGAAUCUGAGAAAACUGUAGAAUGCCCGGCCAUCCGGAAGAAAUUAGGGAUGUCCAUUCGCGUCAAGAUGUCGACGUUAAUUAUCUGGCGACGUGCUUCGCUAAGCAUUCGUCUCGAAAUUUGUUUUUACAACCGUCAAGUUUCCUUGAAUUGUGGGACAUUUUCGUGACAUAUAUCCUUUCGACUGCGAAUUCUUUAACAAACUUGACAUUAUUUAUCUCUUAUCGAAAUUUUGUUUAGUUAUCAUCUUUUUUUAUAACUUUCUUCAAUAUAUUUAAUAUUCGAUAGUAAAGUAAUAACAAUAAUUAAAAUGCUAUUUGCUUAUUUAUUAGAUUAUUAUUUUAUCUCUAUUCAUUUUCCUAAUGAUAAGAAUUUUGUUUUCGUAAAACAUUAAUCUUGUCAGGAUAAAUAUAUAAGAAAACAAAUUAGUAAAUUAAUAGGUUCAGAUAGAUUAAGAGAUACAUUGCAAAGUUUUUUUAAUAUAAAGUAAUGAUGUAACUAUUUCAUCAUGCAACUACAUAACUCAAUGAUAUAAUCAAUAAAAUUGACGACCUCGCCGGCGUUUUUUUGACAGCUGGAUGAUUACUUAUACCGCAAUAAUCGCUCUAAUUAAUUGCGGCAUAAUCAUAUCACGACAGAUUUUGCUAUUGCGAAUGAGACUAAAAAGUAUAGACGAAUAUAGGCUCCCUCUCUUCAGCUUCAAACAUUUCGAUGUCAAUAAAUGCAUAAUUAUAUUUGCGUAAAAAAAAAAAGUAUAAAAAAAAGGUUAUGUUAUAAGACAAUUUUAUCAGAAUGAAAAAAAAAAAAAAUAUUUUAUCUAUCUUUUAUAUAUUUUGUUUAAUUGUACAAACAUCGCGACUACAAAUCCUAACAAAUGAAAAAAAAAUGUCAUUUUCAAAUUAUAAAUAACCCUCUCGCUAAAAUUUUCUUUAAACGUCAAGAUACAGGUCAAAGUUCAGUAGAUAUGCUGAUAGCGGUAUUGUCAUAUCACAUUGAAACGACGUUAAAAAUAAAUGAAGAAUUUUACUGCGUAUAUAAUGCGCGAUAAAAAUAUGCAAGGUAGUUGCUCAUUAUAUGUAUAUCAAAAUAUUCAACUGUCUUUCCAAGUUACACGCUCAUUAACUCGGCUACAGUUAAUUACAAACUAUGGAUAACCGUAGAAUAAGCGUUAGCUACUAGGUACCGCUUUCAUCAUCGCAAUCGUCGUAUCCUGUCUCAAUGUUACAAUCAACACCGGAAAUAAUGGCGCUUUUCUGUCAUACGUCGACAACAUUACGCAGGCGAUCUUAUCGCUCGCGGAAAAAUGGGAAUAUCAUCAAUUCGUUCGUAGUAAUAGUUCCACGCGCGCAUGCAACAAUGGUCUUGAACGACCACGUUACAUAAAUCACUUUUAAAUGACACAUAUAUAGAUAUGUUACUUCUCUCUCUUGACAUUGCAUCAGUGAUUUAUGACAAUUAUCUAUAAAAAAAUAUGCCAUUGCAAGUAUGACUAGUUUAUAAAUGCAUCUACCUUCCGCAUAGCUAAAACAUCAAAGCUCGAAGAGAAUAAUUAAUUUAAUAGUGUACUAUCUAUACAAUUAACAAUUCACAUUUCAACAUUAGAAUUUUAAUUAUUUCGAAUAAGCUUGAUUUGAUUAUUAAAAUCUUUUUUCCACUUUUUUUUUUUUAAAUUGCAGAUAAAAUCGGUAUUUACUAUCCAAUAUCAUACUUCUCAAUUAAUUCUGUUUAUUAUACUAUUAAUUAGUGUUAUUUAAUUGACAUUUUGUUGAAUUAUUUUCUAAUAUAUAUCUAUAGUAUAUCAUUCGAAAAAAUAUAACGGAAAGAAAAUAAAACAAAAUAUGUGAAUAGAAUUAUAGAUAAAUUUUGAAGAUCGAUUCUUAAAAUUAAAAAAUGUGAAUAAUAUAGCAAUAUUUCUUGCCUAUACAAAGUUUUUCUGUGCAACAUAAAAAAUAAUUUCUAUUUAAUGGAAGUAUCAUUUCAUUAUCGGACAGCUAAUAGUCAAGGUCGUCGGCAAAUAUAAUCAAUACGGCAAUCUUGUACACUCUCAAAUUACAUUAAAAAAACGUUCAAUAAACGUAGAAUAUGUCAUGUAUGCGAUUUGACGAUACUGCAUAAUUACAAAACAAUCUCGCGGCUAUGUAUUAACUCGUAUACACGUCCGUGCAAGAUGGACAAUGUAUUUAUAGCAAAAAUUCAUUAGCGUAAGCAAUAUUAAUUGCUCGAACUCGGCAGAGUAAUAUUUCAUUAGACAUAACUGUGCAUUUUAAAGUAGAAACUGACACAAUAUAUUAAAUGAUAUCGGUUUUUCACAAAAAAUUAUACAUAUUAAUAGAAAUGUUGCGUAAAGUCUGUCCAUCAAACAUUAAUAGAAUUAUUAAAUUUUUACGCGAAACAAAAAAAAAGAAAAAAUUAAGUUUUUCCAUAUCAGUUAAUAAUAAUGUGUGAAAAAUAGUCUUUCGUGAAUAUAUGCAACUGAACAUAAUUUUUUUAUAAUUUAAUUAUUACUUAUAGUGCAAUCACUAUAUAAUAUCAGUGGAUCCUUCAAUUUAGCCAUUUCAUGGUGUGGAUUCGUUUAAUCACACAAGAAUCGGUAACACGAAAGCUCGAUAAUAAAUCGCGGGAGUCUAAUUACCCAAGUUUUAAUUGGCCGGCAUUGCUCGGCAUGUGUAUUAUUCCGCAUGACGUGGCAUUUUUUGCCGAUGCAUGCUUUUUUCGCAUGUAUAAAGAGACAUACAAUCAUUCGGAAACAAAACUCAUAUAUCGACUCUUAAACAAUCGCGUCAAUGUGAGUGAUUCUAAGGCAAACUGGAUCAAACGAGGUCGCGCCACACCACCGCUCGAAUCUCUCACCUGCUUGCUGUUUACGAAGAAGUGAAAUCUUUUUAUGACUUUUUAUCAGACAACUGAUGAAAAAUCCACCGGCCCUAAGAUAAUGCAUUUCGGAUGCAGCGCGGCUUACACGUGUCUAAUCACUCAUCAUUUUUAAAUAAGGUUCGAUCGUCGCAUUGAUCUGAAAAUACGUCACGACAGAUGCAACUGUUGAGGAAAAAAGGAAAACGAAAGAGAAAGUAGCAGUGGACACGGCAAACAGCAACGUGAUGUAUUUUUGCAUCAUGCUAGUGUGCGUUUUGCAUCUCUCGGUUAUAUUAUGUCAAGUUGGACCGUCAUGAAUUUUCGCGCUAAGUAUCCGCUUACUGCAUGCCAAAAGUAUCCGCCUAGAAAUGCCUGAAAAUGUGCUUUCGCGGCGAAAUACGAGACGACCGUUACUCGCUUGCGUGCACGACACACGCGUGCGGCAAAUACGCACUACGCACACCGACUAUUCAUACUGACGUAUCGCGACUGUGCCAUCAUUUCUUUCAUGCGGUGUAGCCGCGCGCGACCACAGCAACGCAUCGAUAACUAUCUUGCGGGGGCAAACUAAUUAUUUAUAUAAUUAACUAGCUAUACAAUUGUACUAAUUGCGUCGCAGUACGAGAGAAAAAUUAUAUCGCGCGUCAAAAAGGAAAUGUCGAAUUUUUUCGUAAAAACAAAUCGAGUUUACUGGGUAAUUGCUCGUUCAAUUAGUCCCUGGCGAAAUUUUGAAAAAUUAUCUUAAAAACGCACAAUGUGCUGUCCGAUCAUAAUUAAGAGAGAUCGUUGUAACACCCUCUGUAUCAACCAUGUAUGUAUGGCUAUUAAUGGAUGCAAUUAAUGCACAUUAAUAUAGCUGAUUAUUUACGCUAGACUGGUAUUGCUGCCUUUGCCGCAAUUGCGAAAUCUUCUUACCUCUUAAAGAGCGUUAUUAAUCUCCGACGCAAACACGCGGAGAUGUGGACAUUCGCUAUUUAGCUAAGUGUCUUCUGCGGUUUUUAUGCUUGUCAAACUGUUUAUCAAACACAAACAAUCAAUAAACAUGUUGUAUCAAUUUUCAGAGUUCUAAUAAUGCAAUCACUAUAAAUAUCCUAAAUAUUCGUCAAAUGUAUUCUCGUAAAGUUCAUAAAUAAAUAGAUCAUACACACACGUAUGUUUAAAAUGUUUCGAAAUUAAAUUAAGACUUACAUUCAGUUAAAUAUGUCCUGAAUAAUUAAAAAUUUUGUUAAGUUUUUUUGUUUUUUAAUAGACGAUUCAAAUAUUAUGUAUGUUAAUGAUGACGUUAU